CCCCAGACACCUAUAGGUUAGUGUUCUGUAUCAGAUCUCCUGUAUUUACCCCAGACACCUAUAGGUUAGUGUUCUGUAUCAGAUCUCCUGUAUUUACCCCAGACACCUAUAGGUUAGUGUUCUGUAUCAGAUCUCCUGUAUUUACCCCAGACACCUAUAGGUUAGUGUUCUGUAUCAGAUCUCCUGUAUUUACCCCAGACACCUAUAGGUUAGUGUUCUGUAUCA